UCCUAAACCCGAUAUAAGUGUAAAGCGCCCGAUUUUUCUUCGGGACUUGAAACGUUAGCGGGGCUGUCG
rnacentral:sRNA from 1 species